GCGUGGGGAACGUACCCAGAUCUAAGGAAUAGCCACUGGAAACGGUGAGUAAUACCUUAUACGCCCUUCGGGGAAAGGAUUUAUCGGAUUUGGGAUCGGCCCGCGUUAGAUUAGAUAGUUGGUGGGGUAACGGCCUACCAAGUCUACGAUCUAUAGCUGGUUUUAGAGGAUGAUCAGCAACACUGGGACUGAGACACGGCCCAGACUCCUACGGGAGGCAGCAGUGGGGAAUCUUAGACAAUGGGCGCAAGCCUGAUCUAGCCAUGCCGCGUGAGUGAUGAAAGGCCUUAGGGUCGUAAA
rnacentral:rRNA from 1 species